rnacentral:rRNA from 1 species
GACAGAGGCCUCGAGCGUUAGGCGGAAUCACUGGGCUUAAAGCGUGUGUAGGCGGACUUCUAAGUACCUUGUGAAAUCCCACGGCUUACCCGUGGAACGGCUGGGUAUACUGGUUGUCUUGAGCCACUUAGGGGCUACCGGAACAAAUGGUGGAGCGGUGAAAUGCGUAGAUAUCAUUUGGAACGCCAAUGGUGAAAACAGGUAGCUGGGAGUGUGCUGACGCUGAGACACGAAAGCCAGGGGAGCGAACGGG